rnacentral:rRNA from 1 species
GAUUCUGGCUCAGGAUGAACGCUGGCGGCGCGCAUAACACAUGCAAGUCGAACGGAGUGUAAUUGAAACCUAGUGAUUUUACACUUAGUGGCGGACGGGUGAGUAACGCGUGGGUAACCUGCCUGGUAUUGGGGGGCAACAGUUAGAAAUGACUGCUAAUACCGCAUACGACAUCCGGAGGGCAUCCUCUGGAUGGGAAAGGAAUUAUCCGAUAUCAGAUGGACCCGCGUCUGAUUAGCUAGUUGGUGAGGUAACGGCCCACCAAGGCGACGAUCAGUAGCCGAACUGAGAGGUUGACCGGCCACAUUGGGACUGAGACACGGCCCAAACUCCUACGGGAGGCAGCAGUGGGGAAUAUUGCACAAUGGGGGAAACCCUGAUGCAGCGACGCCGCGUGAGUGAUGAAGUAUUUCGGUAUGUAAAGCUCUAUCGAUGGGGAAGAAAAUGACGGUACCCAAGUAAGAAGCCCCGGCUAACUACGUGCCAGCAGCGGC